ACUGAAGAAGCCGCACCACCGGGAUAGAUGACGCUGAUAGCCCGUUCACUGCAUCUACCACUGCCAUAUUGUCCAAAAAGAAUACCACCUUCUUAUCCCUCAACUGUGGACCCCAUAGUGACAGCGCCACUACCAACGGGAACAAUUCCAGGAACGCUAGGUUGCGUAUCAUCGGGCUGGCCUUCCAGGCCCCUGGCCAAGUACCCGCGCACCAUUGACCCGAAAAGUAAGCCCCAAACCCGACACUCCCUGAUGCGUCCGUAAACAGCUCCAACUCCUGAGAAGACGCCGGCGGCUCCCGAAAGAACACUUUCCCGUUAAAAUCCCGCAAGAAUUCCCCCCAGAUGUCCAACUCAGCCUUCAUGGCCCCUGAUACUCGAAUAAGGUGGUGCGGGAAAACCACCCCCGCCGUUGCCCUGGCUAGGAACCUGUUAAAAACCCAUCCGACCGGGAUCACCCGACAGGCAAAGUUUAGCCGACCGAGCAGAGACUGAAGUGCCCGGUGCGUAACCUUCUUAGCUCCCCGCACCUCCGCCACCGCCAGCCGGAGUGCCAAUAACUUGUCCUGUGGCAGCCUGCACUCCCCCUUAACCGAGUCAAUCUCCAAGCCCAAGAAACUCAGGCAGGUCGUAGGCCCCACCGUUUUGUCACUUGCCAAGUGGACUCCAAUCACGUGCGCCACCCAUUCCAGUGUCCUCAAUCCCCUGCGACAUUCCUCCGAUCCAGGAGGCCCUACACAUAGGAAUUCAUCCAGAUAAUGGACUACCA